UUAAACGAGAGUUUGAUCCUGGCUCAGGAUGAACGCUGGCGGCGUGCUUAACACAUGCAAGUCGAGCGAAGCACUUAAGUUUGAUUCUUCGGAUGAAGACUUUUGUGACUGAGCGGCGGACGGGUGAGUAACGCGUGGGUAACCUGCCUCAUACAGGGGGAUAACAGUUAGAAAUG
rnacentral:rRNA from 1 species